CCAGACUCCUACGGGAGGCAGCAGUGGGGAAUAUUGCGCAAUGGGCGAAAGCCUGACGCAGCGACGCCGCGUGAGGGAUGAAGGUCUUCGGAUCGUAAACCUCUGUCAGCAGGGAAGAACGGUCACUGUGCUAAUCAGCAGUGAAUUGACGGUACCUGCAAAGGAAGCACCGGCUAACUCCGUGCCAGCAGCCGCGGUAAUACGGAGGAUGCGAGCGUUAUCCGGAUUUAUUGGGUUUAAAGGGUGCGUAGGUUGUUUUUUAAGUCAGCGGUGAAAGUUUGUGGCUCAACCAUAAAAUUGCCGUUGAAACUGGAAGACUUGAGUGUGUUUGAGGUAGGCGGAAUGCGUGGUGUAGCGGUGAAAUGCAUAGAUAUCACGCAGAACCCCGAUUGCGAAGGCAGCCUUCCGGCGCCCUACUGACGCUGAGGCACGAAAGUGCGGGGAUCGAACAGGAUUAGAUACCCCAGUAUC
rnacentral:rRNA from 1 species